GUCCACUGCAGGGUGUCAGAGUUUGGGAGCAGGGCCUGCGCUGAAGGAGGACAAAGGGCCCAGGCAAAGGGCAGGGCUAUGUUUUCCCAAAGGGAGCCUGCAGGGCCAAGAGGCCAGGUCCACUCCCCUGGUCCAGGUGAGCAUCCUGGGAAAGAGAUCAGGAAAGGGGGCCUGGCAGGGGCAGGGACGAAAGGAGGGCAAAAGGAGGGCACAGUGUGAAGGGCCGGAGAAUGGUGCUGGUGGCAUGGGGGCCGGGAACCCAGAAAGGAGCCCAGGAGGAGGGUCCAUGCCAAGGGAGAGCAGGGAAGGGCAGGGUUGGGCAGGCAGGAGGCACCAGUGGACUGCAGUGCAGAAAACCAAGGGGAGCAGGGAAGUGGCCCUAGCAAGGGGCCCAUAGUCAAGGCGAAGGACAAGCGGAGCAACAAGGGCCACCAGAGGCUCAAGCGAGGAGCCAGGCCAGGGAAUGAAGAGCCAAGGGCAAGGGCUUGGGAAGGGGGCUCAGGACAGUGUUCAAGACUUGGCAGGGAAGGCAGGGGAUCCAUGAGGGGGCAGUCAGGCUCCAGGCCCAGGCACCUCCAGGUUUCAGGGUUCCUGGUGCAGGAUGAAGCACCCAAGGAAAGCAAGGGGCCCAGGCGAGGGGCAGGGCUCUGUUUCCCAUAAGGUGACCUGGCUCAGAUGAGAAUCCAGGGCCAGGGACCUGGCAAAAAAGGCCUGUCAAGGGAAGGGGGCAAGAGGAGGGCGACGGGAAGGCACGCCAGAGGGUCCGGGUGGGUGCGCAGAGGGGUGAGAGCCAGGACCCAAG
rnacentral:lncRNA from 1 species